CUUCGGGUUGGUGGCGAGCGGCGGACGGCUGAGUAACGCGUAGGAAUAUACCCCAAAGUGAGGAAUAACCGCCCGAAAGGGUGGCUAAUACCGCAUAUGGUCUUCGGAUUAAAGGAUUCAUCCGCUUUGGGAAUAGCCUGCGUUCGAUUAGCUUGUUGGUGAGGUAAAGGCUCACCAAGGCGACGAUCGAUAGCUGGUCUGAGAGGAUGACCAGCCAGACUGGAACUGAGACACGGUCCAGACUCC
rnacentral:rRNA from 1 species